ACCACUGUAGCAACACUUAAAUAAAAAAUUCUGAGAUAAUCCUCCUCAAUCCACACCCUCCCCUUCCACCAACAACAACAAAUUCAUGAAUUUAGAAAAGAGCAGGUAGUAAAGAAAAGUAUGCAUACCCACAAUACUCAAUGCAACUAUAUUCUAUCAAAAGAAUAAAAGGAGGUUACAAAAGGAUUACUUCACUAAUUAACCAAAAAAAA